AGAGUUUGAUCCUGGCUCAGAUUGAACGCUGGCGGCAGGCCUAACACAUGCAAGUCGAGCGGAAACGAGUUAUCAGAACCUUCGGGGAACGAUAACGGCGUCGAGCGGCGGACGGGUGAGUAAUGCCUAGGAAAUUGCCUUGAUGUGGGGGAUAACCAUUGGAAACGAUGGCUAAUACCGCAUGAUGCCUACGGGCCAAAGAGGGGGACCUUCGGGCCUCUCGCGUCAAGAUAUGCCUAGGUGGGAUUAGCUAGUUGGUGAGGUAAUGGCUCACCAAGGCGACGAUCCCUAGCUGGUCUGAGAGGAUGAUCAGCCACACUGGAACUGAGACACGGUCCAGACUCCUACGGGAGGCAGCAGUGGGGAAUAUUGCACAAUGGGCGCAAGCCUGAUGCAGCCAUGCCGCGUGUAUGAAGAAGGCCUUCGGGUUGUAAAGUACUUUCAGCAGUGAGGAAGGGGGUGUCGUUAAUAGCGGCAUCUCUUGACGUUAGCUGCAGAAGAAGCACCGGCUAACUCCGUGCCAGCAGCCGCGGUAAUACGGAGGGUGCGAGCGUUAAUCGGAAUUACUGGGCGUAAAGCGCAUGCAGGUGGUUUGUUAAGUCAGAUGUGAAAGCCCGGGGCUCAACCUCGGAACUGCAUUUGAAACUGGCAAACUAGAGUACUGUAGAGGGGGGUAGAAUUUCAGGUGUAGCGGUGAAAUGCGUAGAGAUCUGAAGGAAUACCAGUGGCGAAGGCGGCCCCCUGGACAGAUACUGACACUCAGAUGCGAAAGCGUGGGGAGCAAACAGGAUUAGAUACCCUGGUAGUCCACGCCGUAAACGAUGUCUACUUGGAGGUUGUGGCCUUGAGCCGUGGCUUUCGGAGCUAACGCGUUAAGUAGACCGCCUGGGGAGUACGGUCGCAAGAUUAAAACUCAAAUGAAUUGACGGGGGCCCGCACAAGCGGUGGAGCAUGUGGUUUAAUUCGAUGCAACGCGAAGAACCUUACCUACUCUUGACAUCCAGAGAACUUAGCCAAAGAUGCUUUUGGUGCCUUCGGGAACUCUUGAAACAAGGUGCUGCAUGGGUUGCCCUCCACCCCCGGUUGUGAAAAAGUUGGGGUUAAAUCCCCCCACCAAGCGCCACCCCU
rnacentral:rRNA from 1 species